rnacentral:rRNA from 1 species
UGGGGAAUAUUGCACAAUGGACGAAAGCCUGAUGCAGCAACGCCGCGUGAGUGAUGAAGGCCUUCGGGUYGUAAAGCUCUUUUGUUAGGGAAGAACAAGUAGCGGAGUAACUGCCGGUACCUUGACGGUUCCUUACCAGAAAGCCACGGCUAACUACAUGCCAGCAGCCGCGGUAAUUA